rnacentral:rRNA from 1 species
CUGCAUGGAGCCGACCUUGAAAUACCACCCUUUAAUGUUUGAUGUUCUAACGUGGACCCGUGAUCCGGGUUGCGGACAGUGUCUGGUGGGUAGUUUGACUGGGGCGGUCUCCUCCUAAAGAGUAACGGAGGAGCACGAAGGUUGGCUAAUCCUGGUCGGACAUCAGGAGGUUAGUGCAAUGGCAUAAGCCAGCUUGACUGCGAGCGUGACGGCGCGAGCAGGUGCGAAAGCAGGUCAUAGUGAUCCGGUGGUUCUGAAUGGAAGGGCCAUCGCUCAACGGAUAAAAGGUACUCCGGGGAUAACAGGCUGAUACCGCCCAAGAGUUCAUAUCGACGGCGGUGUUUGGCACCUCGAUGUCGGCUCAUCACAUCCUGGGGCUGAAGUAGGUCCCAAGGGUAUGGCUGUUCGCCAUUUAAAGUGGUACGCGAGCUGGGUUUAGAACGUCGUGAGACAGUUCGGUCCCUAUCUGCCGUGGGCGCUGGAGAACUGAGGGGGGCUGCUCCUAGUACGAGAGGACCGGAGUGGACGCAUCACUGGUGUUCGGGUUGUCAUGCCAAUGGCACUGCCCGGUAGCUAAAUGCGGAAGAGAUAAGUGCUGAAAGCAUCUAAGCACGAAACUUGCCCCGAGAUGAGUUCUCCCUGAGACUUAGAGUCUCCUGAAGGAACGUUGAAGACGACGACGUUGAUAGG